UACGUAGGGUGCAAGCGUUGUCCGGAAUUAUUGGGCGUAAAGAGCUCGUAGGCGGUUUGUCGCGUCUGCUGUGAAAACUCGGGGCUUAACUCCGGGCCUGCAGUGGGUACGGGCAGACUAGAGUGCGGUAGGGGAGACUGGAAUUCCUGGUGUAGCGGUGAAAUGCGCAGAUAUCAGGAGGAACACCGGUGGUGAAGGCGGCUUGCUGGACCGCCACUGACGCUGAGGCACGAAAGCGUGGGUAGCAAACAGG
rnacentral:rRNA from 1 species